ensembl:miRNA
GUUGCUGCUGCUCGCCAUCGAUCCCACCACUGCCACCACUGCUGCUACUGCUCCGCAGGUGCUGCUGGUGGUGAUGAUGAUAGU